rnacentral:rRNA from 1 species
CUAAACACGAACCAAGGAGUCUAUCUAGUAUGCGAGUAAAUGGGUAUAUGAAACCUAUUUGCACAAAAAACUUGACUGUUAUGGGAUUACGAGUCGAAUGCUUUGCGGCAUUAGCUCUUCCAUCCCGGGGCAUUUUCAUCAACAUAUGCAGCAAUGUAUAUGGAAAAUGUACCAUGAGCAUACUGGAUAUGACCCGAAAGAUGGUGAACUAUGCCUGAUCAGGUUGAAGUCAGGGGAAACCCUGGUGGAGGACCGAAGCAGUUCUGACGUGCAAAUCGAUUGUCAGAAUUGGGCAUAGGGGCGAAAGACCAAUCGAACCAUCUAGUAGCUGGUUCCUUCCGAAGUUUCCCUCAGGAUAGCUGGAGCAUAUAAGAAUCUUUUUCUAACUCAUACCUGGUAAAGCGAAUGAUUAGAGGCCUUAGGAACGAAAUGUUCUUAACCUAUUCUCAAACUUUAAAUGGGUAUGUAAGCUAACGUACUUGAUUGACGUUGGCCUUUCAAAUUGCUCGCAAGAGUAGUCUGUAAGAUUGCAUGCGCCCAGUGGGCCAAGUUUUGGUAAGCAGAACUGGUGCUGCGGGAUGAACCGAACGCAUUGUUAAGGCGCCCAAAUAAACGACGCAUCAUUGAUACCACAAAAGUCGUUGAUUGCUGAAGACAGCAGGACGGUGGACAUGGAAGUUGUCAUCCGCAGGGAGAGGGGGGUAACA